UGAUACUUAUAGCGUAGUGGACCCACGCCGAUCCAUCCCGAACUCGGCUGUUAAACGCUACAGCGGCGAUGAUACUAAAGGGGAAGCCCUUUGGAAAAGUAGCUCAGUGUCAGGACU
rnacentral:rRNA from 1 species